rnacentral:misc_RNA from 1 species
GAAAUGCGAUAAUUAAUGUGAAUUGCAGAAUUCAGUGAAUCAUCGAGUCUUUGAACGCACAUUGCGCCCCCUGGUAUUCCGGGGGGCAUGCCUGUCCGAGCGUCAUUGCUGCCCUCAAGCACGGCUUGUGUGUUGGGCUUCCGUCCCUGGCAACGGGGACGGGCCCAAAAGGCAGUGGCGGCACCAUGUCUGGUCCUCGAGCGUAUGGGGCUUUGUCACCCGCUCCCGUAGGUCCAGCUGGCAGCUAGCCUCGCAACCAAUCUUUUUAACCAGGUUGACCUCGGAUCAGGUAGGGAUACCCGCUGAACUUAAGCAU